AUCCAGCUGACGAGUCCCUAGUUAGACGAAACGCGCGUCCUGGAU
rnacentral:hammerhead_ribozyme from 1 species